rnacentral:rRNA from 1 species
CCUGCGGAAGGAUCAUUACCGAGUGCGGGUCCUUUGGGCCCAACCUCCCAUCCGUGUCUAUUGUACCCUGUUGCUUCGGCGGGCCCGCCGCUUGUCGGCCGCCGGGGGGGCGCCUCUGCCCCCCGGGCCCGUGCCCGCCGGAGACCCCAACACGAACACUGUCUGAAAGCGUGCAGUCUGAGUUGAUUGAAUGCAAUCAGUUAAAACUUUCAACAAUGGAUCUCUUGGUUCCGGCAUCGAUGAAGAACGCAGCGAAAUGCGAUAACUAAUGUGAAUUGCAGAAUUCAGUGAAUCAUCGAGUCUUUGAACGCACAUUGCGCCCCCUGGUAUUCCGGGGGGCAUGCCUGUCCGAGCGUCAUUGCUGCCCUCAAGCCCGGCUUGUGUGUUGGGUCGCCGUCCCCCUCUCCGGGGGGACGGGCCCGAAAGGCAGCGGCGGCACCGCGUCCGAUCCUCGAGCGUAUGGGGCUUUGUCACAUGCUCUGUAGGAUUGGCCGGCGCCUGCCGACGUUUUCCAACCAUUCUUUCCAGGUUGACCUCGGAUCAGGUAGGGAUACCCGCUGAACUUAAGCAUAUCAAUAAGCGGAGGA